UCAUCUUCCAGAGUGGAGUCCAGGUAGUCCUCCUCAUGCUCCGGAAUAUCCUCCAGGAUUUCAUUGACAGCCUCUGUCUCCAUGUCUUCAUCUGUAGAGGCGCUAGAGGUUCCUGCAGUGAAACAGCACAGGCCCUCACAGACACCAGGCAGUGCAGAAAAGGCCUCAGAAGACCUGGCCCAACAGGUCCUUGUAGGCACUCACUUUCAGGACAUGAAAGCAAGUGUCAUGAAAAUCUAAUCAUGAGUAUCACAAGUUAAGCGGCCACAAUACAUGGGACAUGCUCAAGUGUGGUAUCAAGUGCAGGUGGAUGAAGCCUCAUGAUAUGCUAGGUAAGUUGAGUCUCACAGGACACAGUGACAUCCUCUUAGGUCCCAGGCAGAGAAAUAGGAGUGAUGUAGCAGUGAGCAUGGGAAAGGGGCAAAUGAGAAACGAAGGUAAAGGGUCCCUCCUGCAGUUCUUGCUGUUUUCAGGAAAUCUCGCUCCGUAGGCCUGGCCUGGCCUUGAACUCAAAGACCUACUGGCCACUGUCUCUAGAUGCUGAGAUUAAAGGUGCGCGCUACCAUGCCUAUCCGCUUUCCCUUCUAAGAAGCACCUCUCCUUCAGACCCCCAUCCACAUUCACUCCACUGCAUAUGCCAAGGUCCUCCCAGGGGUGGUAGGCCCUGCUCAGAGCAGAAGCACGCGCCACCCUGCCACCGGCCAGCCCUGCCCAUCACCGGAGUGCAACACCUGCCACUCACCUGGUCGAUGCUUUCCUGGGAAGGACUUGCUUGACGGCUGUUUUCAGGAUCUGAGUCUUGUAACCACCACAAAAGGGGGUUACUGAGGAGAAUCUGAAAGCACAGGGGCGUCCUUUCCUCAGCCUAAUGUGGCCGCACGGCCCACCAUCUCACAUGUAGCCAAACAGCUCAGACUCAUGCGCUUGGGGACAAAUGAGUGCAGAGCGUCACAGAAGGCUGUGCAGAUUGCACAAAAAGGGGGCCCCUGGCUAGCCAGGGAGUCCCAGGGAGCCUCUUGUUUCUACUCUCCCAGCACUAGGAUGUGCCCUGCCACAGCUGGCAUUUUUACUUGGCCAUCAAGCGCAGGUCCUCAUGCGUGAAAGGUAAGUACUUAUAACUGGCAUCUCCCCAGCUUCAUGAUCUCCCCAAAUUAACUGUCUCCACCUCACCGUUUCUUCAGAUGGCUAGACUUCCCAGUGCUUUGUGUUCAAUCCAAAAACCUCAAGCUUCAUAUUUAAAUUAUAUUCUAAUCUAAUAUACAUAUAUGAGCUGGGCAUGGCGGUGCAUACCUUUAACCCCAGGCACCAGGGAAGCAGAGGCAGGCAGAUUUCUGAGUUUGAUGCCAGCCCCAGGACAGCUGGAGCUACAUAGUGAAACCUUGUCUCAAAAAAAUAAAACAAACACACACAUGAAUAAAAAAUGAAAAAGGGGGUCUUUCUGAGGCAGAGGCUGGAGACAGAAGAGGGGUGCAGGCGGGCUCUGCUGCCUGUAGCACAGGUCCCUGCCUCUGUCCAGUCCAUCUCUAGCUCCAGUCCCCAUCCCAAGAGCUCCAGGACAAAAGCCCAUCCCCCACUGUCCAGAGGGCAGCUCCCCAGGGCAUAGCCCCUGCCCUGCCCCGUGUACCCACCUGUCUACCACUCAUCUGUGGAAGUGCCCAAGUUGAAGCACAGGGCUUACUGUGCCUCUUGACCAAGCCGGGCCAGGAAGUGCUACCACUGCUCCGUUUCUCUGGAGAUUUCUUUAAAAAGCCCCUCUCACCAAGAGGUACCACAAAAAAUAAAGCCAGAUAUGCAAACAAGCAUUAUCUUAAGCUGAAAUGUGACCCAUCCCUUCAAGCUGCAAAGUACAGUCACCGAUGUCCCAGGCCAGUUGCCCAGGGCCAUCACUCUGGCCCUGCUGGAGGACAGCUAAGUUGUCUGUGUCUACACAGAGGCUUAGGAGGGAAGAGCACAGAAAGGGUAUGGAAACAGAGUCAGCCUGGAGGCAGGCUGGUGGAUGCACUCAGCUGCUCAUACUGAAGCCGGAGGCAUUACCUUCAGGGCAUCGUCCAGGUUGCCUCUGGCCUGGUGAAGGGCCUGUUUGGCAGCACGUGUGGAGUACCCCAUUCCUCUCAGAGAGUUGAUAUUUUCCAGGCGGCGUCUCCUCUUCUCUUUCUCUUCCUUCCUUAUUUGGGCCAGUUCCUUUAGAAAACAAGGCCCUGUGAGUUAGAGGUAGAGGCCACACAGGAAUCUGAGGUUCUCUUCUGCACUGUCUCAGGGUCUCUGGGCUGGUGAGCAACCAAACAAAAAGGGACCUCUACCUGUUCUUGCCAAGAAGGGUGGCUGGAGGCCAGGGACAGGGUUAGGCUCGGGCUCAGGCCCGAGUGGAAAUAGCCAGUGCUGCACCUUAUCAGAAGGUAGACAGCUACAAUAACUCACGGCAGGAGUUUCCUGUGGGGUGGAAGGUCAUCCCAGCCUCGGGUUAACAGGGAUUCAUACCAAGGGGCUCAGAAUGUCACUUAGGGGUAGAGUGGUUGCCUAACACGAGUGACACCCUGGUUCUAUCCCUAAUAUCAACAGAAAAAAGAGAUCUAUUCCGUUUAGUUCUGUGACAAACUCAAACCCGGAGCAGCAGGAAUUGAGGCAGCAACCCCCCAGGGACUGCUCUUCUGUGGCACAGGAGUGCCCUCCCAGCACCACCUGUCCUGACCAGCUCUCAGCUGGGCUCUGAGUGGUCUCAGCUCAUAUCAGCCUCAGUGAGAAGUCCUAGGCCGGUUGGUCAGCAAGAAGCACAAGACUGGUGAUUCAUACACAAAAGGGAGGAGCAGAGACAGACGUGAGCAACCAGCUCACCUAACCCCGGGAUCACUAUCUUCAGGCUUUUUCUAAGAUUACAACUAUUCAGAAGUGCACAUAUGUACAACAUAUACAUGCUCACACACAUGCACAUAUGCUCAUUUCUUUUUGUGGUGCUAGGUGCCAGUGUCCUAUGUACCACAGCGAUUCUGCACUAUUUUAUUUUAUGUAUGUGUGUGUCAGAGGACAACCUGUACGAGCCAGUUCUCUUCUACCAUGUGGGCCCAGAGGAUAAAACAGAUCAUAAGGCCUGGCAGGGAGGGCCUUUCCUGCUGAGCCAUUUCCCUGCCCUCCCACCACAGGCAAACUGAGCCACAGUUUGCCUCAUCUGUAACUGUGGAUUACCAUCACAGGCAGUAAUGGGUAGAACAGAACAACAUCACAACUGAGAGAAUGACUUAAGAACUACUAAGUAUUACACUGCAGUCAUGGUGGUGGAGCAGCAGGGAGGAGAGCCACUGUCAGUGAGCGCACUCCCUGUUGUGCUGAACUAGACUGCACAGCUUCCCCUAACCUGUCCCUGACUUCUGCAGCGAGGUCCAGGGACAAUGACUGGAUGACAGCCAAGGGCUGACUGUUGUGCAAGGAGACAGCCCUGCACAGGCUACUACACAACCAACCCAUGGUCCCACCCCUACAAUGAGCAGUGGCUUCUACCCCUUCUGAGGCCCAUGGGAUGCUGUACUUUACCCUGGAAAACGGGAUUCACACAAGAAGGUCUGGCUGGAGGCCCUAGGAGACUCAGUUUCCAGUUUUGAGAGAAGACUGACCAUGUCACUAGCUCUUUAUACUUCAGUUUGUUGGACAACUGGCGUGACAAGGUCCCUUCCUUCCAACAUAGAAUUCUAAAACUUUCUUCUGGAUACUUACUAUAAAUGACUGUAGCUUUUAAGACCUUGUUUCUGUGAUCUGGCAUGUUUCCAGGCAAGAAGGCAACCCUAAACUAUCAUAGUGGCCUCACAGCCACUUUGAAGCUGCCCUGGUUCAAGCUGACACGAUGCAGACACUGUGGUGGGGAUGCAGCUCUGCCAGUAGAUGCUUGCCCAGCAUGGUUACCCUUGGUUUUAGAGCAAGUUUGAGGCUAACCUGGACUACGUGAGUCUCUGUCUCAAAAAAAAAAAAAAAAAAAAAAAAGAAGAGACAA